rnacentral:rRNA from 1 species
AUUGAACGCUGGCGGCAGGCCUAACACAUGCAAGUCGAGCGGAUGAAGGGAGCUUGCUCCUGGAUUCAGCGGCGGAGGGGUGAGUAAUGCCUAGGAAUCUGCCUGGUAGUGGGGGAUAACGUCCGGAAACGGGCGCUAAUACCGCAUACGUCCUGAGGGAGAAAGUGGGGGAUCUUCGGACCUCACGCUAUCAGAUGAGCCUAGGUCGGAUUAGCUAGUUGGUGGGGUAAAGGCCUACCAAGGCGACGAUCCGUAACUGGUCUGAGAGGAUGAUCAGUCACACUGGAACUGAGACACGGUCCAGACUCCUACGGGAGGCAGCAGUAGGGAAUAUUGGACAAUGGGCGAAAGCCUGAUCCAGCCAUGCCGCGUGUGUGAAGAAGGUCUUCGGAUUGUAAAGCACUUUAAGUUGGGAGGAAGGGCAGUAAGUUAAUACCUUGCUGUUUUGACGUUACCAACAGAAUAAGCACCGGCUAACUUCGUG